rnacentral:rRNA from 1 species
AUGCUGACGACCGGCGCACGGGUGAGUAACGCGUAUGCAACCUUCCUGUAUCUGGAGGAUAGGCCUUGGAAACGAGGAUUAAUACUGCGUAACAUUAUAUUAUCGCAUGGUAAAAUAAUCAAAUCUACGGAGGAUACAGAUGGGCAUGCGUGCCAUUAGCUAGAUGGUAAGGUAAGGGCUUACCAUGGCGACGAUGGCUAGGGGUUCUGCAAGGAAGAUCCCCCACACUGGUACUGAGACACGGACCAGACUCCUACGGGAGGCAGCAGUGAGGAAUAUUGGUCAAUGGAGGCAACUCUGAACCAGCCAAGCCGCGUGAAGGAAGACUGUUCUAUGAAUUGUAAACUUCUUUUGUGACAGAGUAAAGAUAGCUACGCGUAGUUAUUUGCAAGUAUGUCAUGAAUAAGCAUCGGCUAACUCCGUGCCAGCAGCCGCGGUAAUACGGAGGAUGCAGGCGUUAUCCGGAUUUAUUAGGUUUAAAGGGUGUUCAGGCUGUCUGGUAAGUCAGAGGUGAAAGUCGGUUGCUUAACGAUCGAAUUGCCUUUGAAACUGUCAGACUUGAGUAUGGAUGCGGUAGGCGGAAUGUGUAGUGUAGCGGUGAAAUGCAUAGAUAUUACACAGAACACCGAUUGCGAAAGCAGCUUACCAAACCAGCACUGACGCUGAAGCACGAAAGCGUGGGUAGCGAACAGGAUUAGAUACCCUGGUAGUCCACGCAGUAAACGAUGCUCACUCGCUGUUGGCAAUAGAUCGUCAGCGGCUAAGGGAAACCGAUAAGUGAGCCACCUGGGGAGUACGAUCGCAAGAUUGAAACUCAAAGGAAUUGACGGGGGCCCGCACAAGCGGUGGAACAUGUGGUUUAAUUCGAUGAUACGCGAGGAACCUUACCUGGGCUUAAAUGUACGAUGCAUAAGUGUGAAAGCACUUUUUCCUUCGGGACUUUGUACAAGGUGCUGCAUGGUUGUCGUCAGCUCGUGCCGUGAGGUGUCGGGUUAAGUCCCAUAACGAGCGCAACCCCUAUUGUUAGUUACCAGCGCGUAAAGGCGGGGGACUCUAGCGAAACUGCCGGUGUAAACCGCGAGGAAGGUGGGGAUGACGUCAAAUCAGCACGGC